GACGUAGGGCGCGAGCGUUGUCCGGAUUUAUUGGGCGUAAAGGGCUCGUAGGCGGCCAACUAAGUCAGACGUGAAAUCCCUCGGCUUAACCGGGGAACUGCCUCUGAUACUGGAUGGCUUGAGAUUGGGAGAGGGAUGCGGAAUUCCAGGUGUAGCGGUGAAAUGCGUAGAUAUCUGGAGGAACACCGGUGGCGAAGGCGGCAUCCUGGACCGAGAUUGACGCUGAGGCGCGAAAGCUAGGGAGCAAACGG
rnacentral:rRNA from 1 species